UGUUCUGAAUACCACUGACCAUCUGUGUUUUCUAAAUCAGUAUCACAAAUAGACUAUCCAGUUCCCUGUAUAGCAACUUUCUUCUAUGCAUCCUAGCACAGUUCCCUCCUGUCUUUGUCUCUGUCUGUCUAGGGACCUGAGCUGAGGACUAAACAGCAUCCUGCCCUGGCUCCCUCCCUCACAUACACACAUAUUAAGUCUUUAAUCAUGACUUGAAGACAUACCUACUUCUGCUACUGCCUCACGCCCAUCUUGUCUCUUCUACUCUCAACUCCCAGUUCUCUGUUGCUCCCUUCUUUGUUUUAAAGACAAACCUCAACUACAAUUUUCCAUUGCUUUUGCAAUGAAGACUAAGAAUCUAUCAUCUGUCCCAUUCCCUGAGACUGUGCCAACCACGUGUCCUCCAGGAUCUACUUGUACUCAAGUUUAGUUACCAUGGAUCUUCCCACCUCACCAUCUCCAGGAUGCUUUUCAAGAGCCUGCACAUUGUCCAUUUCCUUUCCCAUGAUGUAAAGUUGAUUUUCUCAGCGUCCUUUACCAGCAGUCUAACCUUAAGCAGCCUACAUGAUUCAGACCCUUGGCACCAUGUUACCAUGUUCAUUUUACUUAACAGCGUUUCAGUUGACUAUUAUAAUCUUUCUGCCUAGACUAUAAUCUACUAAGAGCAGAGACUGUGUGAGUAUUAAUUUUUAAUGACUAUUCUUAGCAUGCAAAUGAUAACCCACAUAUCUGUUGAAUGAAUGAUCUAUAAACAUUUAUAAACUGCACAAGACUCUCAUUUAAUGAGUUUAUAUUCAAAGAAUUCUGGUUACCUCUAGACAGUUUUAUGAAAGGCUAAAGAUGUAAUGAGACAUGUAAUAAUAAUUUAAUAAAGAUAAAAGGCUAGUGGCAUAAUUACUUCAAAAACAUCUGGGUCAUGAAAACGCAAAAUAAUCCAGGAAGUCUUAAUUUAUUUUAUGCUAUUCUAGAACUCCUGGAAAAUUCAGGAUAAAAAGAAAUAUAUUGUCUCUCUAUAUUGAGAGGGAAAGAUAUCUUUAGAAGUAGUUAUCACUUGAAAACCUCAGGAGAAUAACCCCAAAAUUCAGGUUUAAUAGAUGUUAAUGAGUUACCUAUGAGCCUAUAAAUCUCCACUUCUUACAUUCUAAUAGUAAUAGCAAUUAAAAACAUAAACAUUAAAAAAAAAAAGUUAUACAGCAGCCUUUGGAUCACAACAGCUGUGAAAACCUGUAACCUCCAAAGGAGAAAUAAUAGGUUUUAGAACUGUCUUAUUCCCAGAAAACUGCAACUGUAUGACUGUUGUGGGAAAUAUUAAAAAAUGAACCCACCAACUCUCUGAGCUCCUGCCUGCCUGCCAACUCUCUGUCCACACUGGACCACAGGGCUCCCACCGGGCCAUCUCUCCAGUGCCCUCUCACCCCCAGUUCCUCUUGCUACCACACACCCCAUGGUCAGCCAACACAUCAAAAUGCGCAGUACCCCGGUAGAAUCAAGACUCUUAAUGCUUAAUUAACCAAUCAGAUUUAUGUAUCAAUAAUAUCACAAUUUACAAGAUGCCAAUUAAAUAAUUUCAGAGCCAAUUGAUAAUGAUAAAAGCUUUAUCCCAAUAUUUCUAACCUUGUGAAAUCAUAGCUACUUGUAACUAGAAAAUGCCACAGGGGUACACGUCCACAGCCAUCUUGGUUCUCCCCCUACUCUGAGAUGCUCUCUGUCUCUGCCACUCUUAGCUCUGCCUCCCUUUUCCCUGUCCAAUCACAGGCCUCCCACUGCCCUAAUGUGAUUGGACAGGAAAAAUCCUGCAACAGAUGACCUGUCUGAAUCCUGGAAAAUCUAUGUCUGUUGUGUUUGUCAAAGAUUAUCAUUGCAGCUGCCUGAGCCCGUGGUGGCUCUGGAGACAGAUGAUGACAGAACAACAAAGGAAAAUGCAGAAAAAGAGACUUGUAGAAUGUUUGGGGGACAUAGGAAGAUACACGAGGAGGGCAUGUACAUCUGCAAAGGGUCUACAAAAGGCCUGGUGUUGUUUCCUGGUGCGACGGGUAGUGGAUUAAAAUUGAUCCAAAUUACUUAAAGCUUGGUUUACUUGCUAACUAAUCACAUAAACUAACUGGGCAGGAACUUUAAAUACUAUGCUUUUUAGGUAUUACAGAAACUCCAAGAAAGCAGCACAAAGCCUAUGGAAAAAAAGAAUGGGCUUUUUUACAGAAUUUUCAUUCUGUCUUACACUUUUAAUCCCCAAAUCAUGAGGCACACAAAAAUAAUAAUAAAAUGUGGGCCAUGUGCUAGUGGUGCAGGCAACAAACAGUCAAUAACACCUGUCUCUAAGGGAGUCCAGAUGACCUUCUAUCUGCUACUGCAUUUGAAAGGAGCUAUAGGUCUAAUGAACGAAUGGGGUCAUAGGAGGAUGGUGUCUCACCAAGAAAAGAAAGUCAAUCAGAGAAGAAUAUAAGUAGAAACUCUUGAAUACAAGAACUCAAGGUCCACUAGAGACAGAUUUCAGCAUACAGAGAAAGAAUUAGCAUAUGAAGAUGGGUCAUUAAGAACCAUCUUCCUUAUCCAAGAUACAAAGGUAAUACAGAAUAAGGAGAAAUGUAUGGACACAUAGUGAGAGACCCGUAAAAGAUGGAGAGGAAUACCUAAGAAGAUGUUUUUAAGAAAUACUAUAGGCUAAUGAGAUAGCUCAGCAGAUAAAGGCACUUGCCACUAAGCCUGAUAACCUUUGUUCCAUACCCAGAGGCCAUAUUAUAAGAGCUGACUCCUGCAAGUUCUCUGAACUCCACGUGUAUGCUGGCAAGUGCAUGUGCACACAAUAAGUAAAUACAUUUAUUUAUUUUAAUAAGUAAAGUUAUUUUAAAAUAUUUUUGAAAGAAAAUAUGAGGUGGUGUGUGGCAGCAUGCACCUGUAAUUCCAGCACUUGGGGGAAUAGAGGCAGAAAAAUCAGGAGUUCAAGGCCAAACUCACAUACUUAAUCCAGACCAGUUUGGACAACUUAAGGACUUGUCUCAAAAGAAAGGAAUUUGGCAAAACCAAAUAUGAUAGAAAAAUGUAUAUAUUAAGCUGAAGGAACUAUAAGUGGAAUAAGCUUCAAAAGAGCCACACUUAGGCACAUUAUGAUCAAACUAUUGAAAUUCAAAGAUGACAACAAGAAACUCCUCUCUUGCUACUCAGAACAACUGGGUUAUUCUAAUAGGAACAAAUAGGGAUAGCAAACUCAAAAGAAAGAAGACUGCUAGCCAGGAGUCCUCAACAACUGUACAAAGUGAAUGGGAAGUCAAGGCAUUGUCAGAUUUGGGAAGUUAUACAAGGGACUUACACAUGCUUAGUACAUAGCUCAGAGUAUCUUUGGGUUCUUAGUCCUUUUCCCUCACUCUAUGGCUGUUGGGAUUAUAUGCAUGUACCACUACCCCGGUGUCAUUUCUUUUCGUGUGCAUGUGUGUAUUCAUGUUUAUGUACAUGCCACAGUGCACAUGUAGAAGUUGGAGGGCAACUUUGUAGAGUGUGUUCUCUCCCUUGACUUUUAACGAUGUUUCUAAGGCUUGAACUCAGGUUAGCGGGCUUACGUGGUAAGUGUCCUCAUCCACUGAGCCAUCUCAUCAGCCCCCUAUUGUCAUACUUCUUAAACAACAGAAUUUGUUGCUAACAUGUUCUACAAAAAUACUAAAUUAAUGUGUAUAGUGUGCCUGUCUUUACAAAUAUUUAUAUUAGUAUAAAUAUUUAUUUGAUUGAUUCCUCUGAAAGAAGUCUUAUGUUGUAUCUCAGAAUAUGGGAAGCACUGGGGUCAGACCUCCCAUAUCCAAAUCCUAUAUGUGCCUCUGUAUACCUUGGGACCACCAUACCUUCUCUAUACUUAGUACCUAGUGCCAAGUACCUUAGUACUUAGUGCCAAGGUAGGAAAUAGCCAUGAUGCUUAUCAAAAAGGUAGUGCUAAUGCAAAAUGGAAGAAUACUUGCAGAGUGAUCUCAGGGUUACCAUUCCACAUUGAGGCACCCUGACCUGUAGGAAGGACUGUUGGUUUUAAGAGAACUACUCUUCUUCCAAGACUGAUUUCUUUUCCCAGAAGAUCCCUGUGACUAACAUCAGAAUCAUAUUUAUCACAGGGGAAACUACAGGCAGUUCCCAACACACAUGUCUAAGUAACAUGGUUAAUAGGGGAAAGAGAACAUCAAAAAUGGGAUUUCUUUUUUCUUUAAGGAAAUUCACAUGAAAAUUUCACUGCUCAGGCCAGGUCACACCACCACAGUCUCAAGACACAUGUUCCUUACAAUUGUCCCACAGUACAUAUUGAAGGCACCGGUGUUGUCAGCAUGCGACCUCAGUUCCUAGUUUCCCACCAGAACCCACAUAUGCACAAGACACAUAACACAUACAUUUCACAACAGUCUGGCACACAUUAUGCAAUGUGUCCAUGAACAAUAUAUAAAAUAUGCAUGGAACAUUAUCUAGUACACAUCAGAAACAAUACAACACACAAGAUAUAACACAGAAUCUACAUAGCACAACAUAAAACAGUAUAACUACAACAUAGCGUAUGCACAACACAUCAUAAAUAUAAUACAUAGCCUAGCUGCAACAGCACAGUCAACAUCAUACAAAGCACACCUCAUAAAUAUAAUGUUAUGGCAUACAAUACAGACACUGUAUACCUCACACUUUCAUCUGAAUAACAAUAUGCAUACAGAAUAUUCAACCCAGUAUACACAACACAGUGCAUAUACAUACCACAAAUGAUGUGCAAUAUGCAACACACACAACAUAAUGACACAGAAGCAACCCAGCUUGCAAAACACAUUAUUCACACCAUCUAAUAGUAACAGACAGUUAUAUGGACAUGGUACACAACAUAUUUUGCUGAGCUCUAACAUUAUUCUAAGUCCAAGAGAGGAUUCCUGCUCUUUAUGGCUUUGCUGUCUUGUCCAAGAGCAACAAAGACAUUUAUUUGCUUUAUGUGAAUUUGACAUAAAUCUUAUAGAAUAGCAAACCAACCAAGGCUAAUCUCCAGCCUCCAUACUGAUGGAGAACAAUUGAUGGCCAUUGUUUUCUGAGGUAUGCUCCACCCUUGGCCUUUGAUAUGUGAGUGACUCCAUCUCAGAAUUACAAAUCGUUUUGUUGAGUUUUCCUUCUUGAGAUUCCCUUGUUUUGUGUUUAUUUUUUAUUACUCUGCAUGCAUGCAUGGAUGUGUAGGUCUGAGCAUACCAGGAAAAAAAACAGUCAGUUCUCUUAUGUCACCAGGUGGGUUUUGGGCAUCAGCCUCUGGUCGUCAGAAUUGUUGAGAUCUUGCCUUCCUAGAGGUACAGUUCCGUUUCUCCAUUGUCAGAUCCAAUUUGAUGAGAUUUUAUUGGAUUCAAACUGGUGAUAUUUUGUUAGGAAGUUUUGCCUCUGUUCUUGAGAGCUAUUGUGUACUUGUUAUAAUAUCUCUACCUAGUUUUAGAAUUCCAGUGGGUGUCAUAGAAUGAGUUGGAAAGUAUAUGCUCUGUUUCUGUCCUCUGAAAGAAUUUUAGGGAAUAUGUGUAGUUCCUUCUUGGAAUAUUUGGUAGAAUAUGAUUGACACCUUGGUUAUGGACUGUUGAUUCAUUUUACUUAAUAGAUGCAAAGAUUUUAUAUUCCUAUAUAAAUUUUUACAGAUGAUGUCUUAAAAAUUGGCUUACUGUGUCAUAGGUUAUCACUAGUUUUUUUUUUUCUCUUUCAGGUUCAUAAGUUCAGUAGUGAUAUUUCCUCUUAACCUUCUGAUAUUAGCAAUUUGUGAUGCAUAACUUAGUCAUUUUGGCAAAAGACUAUAAAUUUUUUUAGAUCAAGAUAAUUCUGUUGCUUGAUUUCUUGUUUAUUUCACUAGUCUUUUAUGGCUUCAUUGUUUGGUUUCUGAUUGAGGUAAGGUAAAACGUGUGGUGCCAAUUGUACACCCGUCUGUUCUUGCAUAUGUGUUAAAGUUUGGGUAUAGGGCUGGAGAGAUGGCUCAGAGGUUGAAUGCACUCACUAUGCUUCCAAAGGUCCUGAGUUCAAUUCCCAGCAACCAUAUGGCAGCUCACAACCAUCUGUAAUGUGAUCUUGGCAACCUCUUCUGGAGUGUAGGCAGAACACUGUACAUAGUAAAUAAAUAAAUCUUUAAAGCUUGAGUGUAAAUAGUUAUAUUAAUUUAAUGUCACUGUGACCACAAUGCCUGACUUUUGGUGAGUAUUUGAAUGGUAUUUUUCCAUACAUUUAAUACCAGAACUCGUGAGAUAGAUAAAAUGACCCAACUAUCCUCAACAAUAUUUGUUAAAAAUAAGGUCCUGUUAAGUAAUAUAAAAUACUGUUAGAACACUGUGGCUGUUAAUGAUAGACCUUUAUUUUUAAGCACCAGCUUUAAUGUUAAUUUUUCAUUUAAAUAAGCUAAGGUGUUGGAGAGCCAGGCUCAUGUGAAUCCUUGCAGCUGGUAGACUCUUUACUGGACUGCCUGGAACAGGAGACUAUCAGCCCAACAACGAGCCAGGUGUAUGCUUUGAACACUCAUCAGAUGCUCUGAAGAAGCUGCGCUGCAACCAUAGCUGCUCUCUGCAGAAGCACAACUCCAGCUCUAGAAGAUACUAUUCCAUCCAUGACUGUGGCUUCUACUGGACCAACUUUAUGACCAUCAUAAGUCUCAGUGAAAUCCAGGCCACGGGAUCCCCUCCCCUGGUGGCACAUCCCAAAGCCUACGAAUGAUACUUACACAGUUCUCCACUUGUAUGAACUUGGCAUACUUUUCUUUUCCUGGUUCUAUAAUCAGACUGUUCAGUUCAUUUUUAAAGUAAGCUGGGGGAUAUCCUCUUGUGCUAUCUCUCACUGUUGCACAUUAAACCUAUUUACAGGUA